CUACGUGCCAGCAGCCGCGGUAAUACGGAAGGUCCAGGCGUUAUCCGGAUUUAUUGGGUUUAAAGGGAGCGUAGGCGGACGAUUAAGUCAGCUGUGAAAGUUUGCGGCUCAACCGUAAAAUUGCAGUUGAAACUGGUUGUCUUGAGUGCACGCAGGGAUGUUGGAAUUCAUGGUGUAGCGGUGAAAUGCUUAGAUAUCAUGAAGAACUCCGAUCGCGAAGGCAUAUGUCCGGAGUGCAACUGACGCUGAGGCUCGAAAGUGCGGGUAUCGAACAGGAUUAGAUACCCUGGUAGUCCGCACAGUAAACGAUGAAUACUCGCAGUAUGCGAUACAAUGUAUGCUGCCAAGUGAAAACGUUAAGUAUUCCACCUGGGGAGUACGCCGGCAACGGUGAAACUCAAAGGAAUUGACGGGGGCCCGCACAAGCGGAGGAACAUGUGGUUUAAUUCGAUGAUACGCGAGGAACCUUACCCGGGCUUGAAC
rnacentral:rRNA from 1 species